rnacentral:tRNA from 1 species
UGCCUGGUGGCUCAGACAGUAAAGCGUCUGCCUGCAAUGCGGGAGACCCAGGUUCGAUCCCUGCCUGGGUCA